ACGAGGACGAGCGCGAAGACGGCGAGCGGCCGGCGCAUCAACCGCCUCCCAUGAAGGGUAUGGCGAGCAUCGCCGUCAGGACGAACGCGUUCAUGA
rnacentral:misc_RNA from 1 species